rnacentral:rRNA from 1 species
AGUAUUUUGACUAUACAAAGGUAUUGAAAUAAGACUUUAAUUGAGUGCUAAGAGAAUGGAAUUUCAUAAAAUUUCUUUUUUAAUUUUAAAAAUUGAAAUUAAUUUUAUAUGUGAAGAAACAAUAAUAAAAAUUAAGGACAAGAAGACCCUAAGAAUUUUAAAAAUUUCAAAAAAAUACUGUAUUUUAUUGAAAUUUUUUAAUUGGGGCGAUUAUUAAAUAUUAAAAACUUUAAUUUUUUUAAAAAAGAACCAAUAAUAUUGGUUAUUUGAAAAAAUACUCUAGGGAUAACAGCGUAAUAAUUUUUGAUAGUUCUUAUAGACAAAAUAGUUUGCGACCUCGAUGUUGGAUUAGGAUUCUUUUUUAAUGAAGAAGUUAAAAAAAGAAGUUUGUUCAACUUUUAAAAUCCU